rnacentral:lncRNA from 1 species
CUCAUUAAAAAGAAAGAAGGAAGAAAGAUGGAUAAGGAGUGUCAACCACUACUGAAAAGGAGCAGGUACAAGAUGAAUCUGUGUAGGCAUCAGUAUGGACCCUGCUCACAAGGUCCCAAGAUGAGCAGCAGGCUCAGCCAAGGCCCCACAGUGAAGCAGGAGCUCCUGCAAGCCAUUGUAGCUGGCCCAUCUCUCUUACCCUGGGGUUGGGGGUGCAUCUGGAGAAGAUGGCAGGUGGGUGCCUGGCAUCCAGCUCCUCCUGUGCCCACACCGAGUCUCAGGUGUGCAGUCUCACAGGCCAGAGAGAAGAGAUGACAUUUGAAGAUGGAGUUGUCACUUGAGCAAAUUCACGGACAUUUGUUUGCUUGAUGGCAGGGCCUGGUUGCUCUGUGUUCUGUGGC